GUGGGUGGAAGCUCAUCAUAGAGGUCACAUGCAGGGUGCUAAUCACUCAACCAAUCACCUUGGGACAAGAGCCAAUCACUGCCCUAGCAGGACUUAACCUGAUCUGGGUUAGUGAAGACACAUAGGAUAUUGGCCAUUGUGAGCUCUCUUCACAGGAGAUUACCAGUCAGUUAGACUCUGGUGAUUGUGCCCUAGCUUGCUUGGAAACACUCAUGGUUGGCAAUGUGUGAUUUGGAGUAUACCUCCAGAACCCAAUUCAGACUACUCUCUGUCCAGU
ensembl:ribozyme RNaseP_nuc Nuclear RNase P